rnacentral:lncRNA from 1 species
UGAUACUACUGUAACAGAUGCUCUUCAGGAAUUGACAAACAAUUGUGGAGGUUGGCAAUUCCAAAAUCUGAGGAGUAGGUAAACUGGAAGACUAGAGACCCUGGGAAGAGUUGAUGUUACAGCUUGAAUCUGAAGGCAGCCUGCUGGAAGAAUCCCCUCUUUCUUGUAGAAGCCCCUUGACUGGGCAAACUUCAAACAAGUGACUGAGCUCCCUUAGCUGCCACUGAUUGGACCAGGAUGGACAACAAAUGUAGGAGGAGUUCAUCUGGAUCUAGCCUGAGCCAGUCAGAUGUCCCGUUUGAAUCCAUGCCUAUAGAAAUACAAAAAGUGGAAGCCAGAGGAUGAUGGAUCCUUGAAGUAAUAAGUCAGCUCUGUGGAAGUUUGAGUGACUCAUUGCAGAGAGGAAUUGAUGAAGUCAACAGCUGCUGGAAAAACUUCUUUUUCCUUAAUAGCUGUAUCAACAUGUGGUUGCUAUUAUUCAAGUAAGAAAAAUAUGUAUAUCAAACAUCCAUGGUAGUCCUUGCUAAAAUUUUCAUUAGAGAAACUCAUGUUUUGACAUUAAAAAAAGUUCAAAUGGGUACCUUAGAGGACGUUUUGUUGGAGAACAAAAUCAUGGAGAAAUAAAGUCUAAAAAGAAAAACAAAUGGCAAGCAUGUUGUUAAUAAUGCUGUAAUUUAUUUCAGAGUGGGUUGGGUGAUUUUCUUCAUGGCAUUAUUAGUGGCACUGCAGAAAUUUGGCACCUCAU